rnacentral:rRNA from 1 species
AAGGCCCGGGAACUCAAAGGAGACUGCCAGUGAUAAACUGGAGGAAGGUGGGGAUGACGUCAAGUCAUCAUGGCCCUUACGACCAGGGCUACACACGUGCUACAAUGGCGCAUACAAAGAGAAGCAAUCUCGCGAGAGCUAGCGGACCUCAUAAAGUGCGUCGUAGUCCGGAUUGGAGUCUGCAACUCGACUCCAUGAAGUCGGAAUCGCUAGUAAUCGUAGAUCAGAAUGCUACGGUGAAUACGUUCCCGGGCCUUGUACACACCG